GCACUUGAUUUUAGGGGUUUUAGUUGUUAGGACAUUGUUUCUUCUAGAUUUGACUUCUGAUGCUGUGAAGAACACGGGAUUAGAGUUCAGAUUUCUGCUGCUGAUUCAUGGCGAGAAAGAGAUGAAGAACUGAAGAUUAAAUAGGGAUUUCUUCUGGUGAUUGAGUUACAGAGAUGGGUUCAAUUGAUUUUAGGGGUUUGAACUGAUUUGGAUUGAGCAACUGAUGAUGAUUUAGGGUUUGUAGAAGAUGGAUUUAUGCUCGAUUUGUGAGAAGAAUAAUUGGCAGUUUAUGUUUGCAAUUGGGUCAUUCUCAGAUUUCGGUUAAAUCUUAAACCCUGGCUUCUAUUUCUUGAAUUUUGUUUUGAGAUUUUUUUUGUUUAAUUGUGUGUAUUGGUUAUCUGUUGAUCCAACCCUUGAGCAGUGGGAGAAAAUCAGGCAAUGAGAUCGCAAGGGUGGCUACCUUUCUUUUACAGUGCUUAUCAGGUAUACUCAAGCUUACCUGGAUUCCAACCAAAUUAGUAUUGUUAAGCCUGAUUGUGAAUUUUAUAGUAAAUUAGUGACUAUGUGACUAUUUAUGUCAUUAUAAUCAUGUGGUUCACUGACAUAGAAUACUUAAACAUCUUUAAGGGUUUCGCAAGUGGAUGUGCAGGGAAUCUCUUUGAGGAAUCUUUAGCAUUCAAUAGAUGUGGAGUGGGAUUGUUUAUGAUGGUUAGCUUAUGUAUUAUCAGAAUCAUCGGGGUUUGAUUCAAUAUAACUUCUUGAAAUAGCUUCUUAAAAUUUCUUGAUUCAAUGUAACUACUUAAUCUAUGUGCUUAUCGUUUUUUAGUGAUGCUCACUUUUCUGGUUAACAAAAUCGGGGAGCUGCUGCAGAACAUGGAGAUUGUUUCUACACAUACUGACAUUCCUGAUAUAAGAACUAGGAUCACUAAGCUAGCAAAGUGGUUUGGAUGUUGCAUCCUUUUGAGUUUCAUUUGUUAUUAUCUCUAUCAUGUUUGAGUGACUAACUUCGCUGAAUGUCUGGGUUUUGACCAUAAGCUAACCAAUAAGAUUUGGUAAACUCGACUUCUUCAUGUGCAACCUAAUCGCCACGCUGUUCUUAGUGCUUCAGAAUCACGACCAGAUUUGGUAAACUCGACUUCUUUUUUGUGAUUAUCGUUUUUUUUUGUUCAAGAAGGUGAGAUGGAUAUUUUGUGAAGGAUUCAAAAUCAUUAAGAUGUCAGUGACUUUGAUGGUUUUAUACAUUAGGCCUGGCCGUAUCAUUAUCUCAUUUUGUGUGUCAAGGCCUUGUACUGCCUGGGAUCAAGUGAGUGUAGUGAAUUUUUUAACAUCAUUGAACAAUCUCUUCUUAACUUUACUCAGAUCAUUUUUUGUGUAUUUGUUGAAUGUCAACCCCAAGUAGAUCUCCUCCAGCGUGUAAAUUUUCUUGUUCGCGAUAUGGAUCAAGGAUUUUGGAGUAAUGGAGGGUUUUUAGUUCAUACAGGCAGGCAAUUAGCAUCACAUAAAGAUGCCUGAUAUCCAAAUGCCUAGUGACAAGACUCUUGGCGGAGGAGAUGAUGCAUUCAACACUUCUUUCAGUGAAACUGGUGUUGGAAAGUGAGGAAAGAAGGCUCUGACUGAAGGUGAGCAAAGAACUUGAAUCCAUAUGUACAACAGACGAAUGUCUUAGAAUGACCUUUUUCAUAAAACCCUCAGGUGCCCUAUACUGCUGCAUCACUCGCACCGGAGGUUCAGAAUGCGAUCCCAGCAUGACUU